GCCUAGGUGGCGGAACUGGUAGACGCGUACGACUCAAAAUCGUAUGCCUUCGGGCGUGCCGGUUCGAUUCCGGCCCUGGGUA
rnacentral:tRNA from 1 species